rnacentral:rRNA from 1 species
UACGGGGGGGGCAAGCGUUGUUCGGAAUUACUGGGCGUAAAGGGCUCGUAGGCGGCCAACUAAGUCAGACGUGAAAUCCCUCGGCUUAACCGGGGAACUGCGUCUGAUACUGGAUGGCUUGAAUCCGGGAGAGGGAUGCGGAAUUCCAGGUGUAGCGGUGAAAUGCGUAGAUAUCUGGAGGAACACCGGUGGCGAAGGCGACAUCCUGGACCGGUAUUGACGCUGAGGAGCGAAAGCGUGGGGAGCGAACGAGG